CUCACAACCUCUCGGUUGGAAAUAGGGGUUGCUUACCAUCAGAGCGACCUAUCUUGUCUUCUAUUUUCCAAAAAAAGUUGAUAUUUGGUAAUCCUGAUCAUCCUUUUGAAAUAUUUGCAUGUCACCACACACUUUGCAAACUGAGGGACAGCUUCCUUGCUCCAACCACGCUGAGUAUACAAACACAUUAAAAGGAAAAGAAAAGACUAUUGUUUAACCUAUGGGUCCUAAUCCAGCCUCAAUCACCAAUUGUUUAGUAGUAAUUUUAAAGGGAUAAAACAAAAGCCUUGAAACGACUUAAACUACUACUACAACUACCCAGUAAAAUCCCACAAAAGUGGGGUCUAGGGAGAAGUCAAUAACUUGUCAUUGUAAUAUAUUCUCCUUAUUAGCCCACUCGUCCACCUUUCUUUCAAGCUAUUAGAAGAUUUAAGUUCAAAUAAAACUUGGAUAACGUCAUUUCAUCCCUGACCCCAAGGCUUUGGACUAGUGGUAAGAGCGCAACACGUGCAUGGGUUAGGGGCACAUCACAGGUACGAACUCUGGACAGGCAAAGGUCUGAUAUUUGAGUGGAGAUGGACAGAGGACAAGCCAACUAACCACCGAAUUACGAACGAUGUGCCACCUACCCUCAGGGAUUUCUUUGUCAUUAAAAAAUAAAGCAACCCUAAUCCAUUCCAAGAGGGCAUAUAUAGAGAUAACAUCCUAAUUCUUUGAGGAGAUCGAACAUCACGUAGGAAUGCAAACCUCCCACUUGAUUUUCGAGACAGCAAUUACCUGGCAUUCUAUUUCUGAUCAAUAGACACAGUGGAAAAUCCAUCGAAGGAAGAAAAGAUGAGAUCUUAUGGAUCGUGGGGAGAUGUCGCAAAAGAUAAAAGUGGAUCCUUGCUAGUGUGGUCAUGGUUAGAUUAGAGCUCCUUUUUUCACUUUGCCUAAACUUCUUUAAAUGAAUCUUCAUCAUUUUCUUCAAAAUUAACCUAGAACGUAUCACACAAACAACCACAUUUGGACUUAUUUUAUCAGAUCUGUAAUAUUCUCAAUAACUACACUGAAUCUUCCAAAUUGACUUAUUAAGAAAAACAAGAAGGGAAUAAA
rnacentral:lncRNA from 1 species